GUUCUGUCUUUAUGAAAACCCGUUUGAUUCGAUUUAGUCUCUCAUCAUCUCCUUCAAAGCUUGCAGUGCUAAUAGCUGUCACAGGCCAUGGACGCAUCAGCAUUGAAGCGAGUACUGAUUCCUGACCAGAUAAAAACAGGAAUUAGCCAUAAUGUAUUAUGAUAAUACCAGGCUCAGAUUGCGUUGACAAAAUCAGUAAUUAUGUUUUUGAGGCACAUUGCCCAGUGCCACCUAUGCUGAGACUCUGUUGGGAUAAUCUCUCUCUCUGGAAUUCUGGUCUCAGGGCAGCAGUUGUUGGAGGAUCAUCUGCUCCUGUGCCGAAUAUCAAAUUGAUCUCAUUCUCAGGCAAUGUUGGUAAACCCUGUUAAACAUUAUUAUUCAGAGGUUGCCUUUAGUUAUACAUAUGAGCUUAUAAUUAUGAUAUGCGAUUGAAAAUAACAGAAUAUUGAACAAAGAAACACAAAAAUUAUGCUUAUGAA